rnacentral:rRNA from 1 species
GACGAACGCUGGCGGCGUGCCUAACACAUGCAAGUCGAACGAAGUGGCGAACGGGUGAGUAACGCGUCAACAACCUGCCCGUCAGAGGGGGACAACAGUUGGAAACGACUGCUAAUACCGCAUACUGAAGGAGGGGAUUGCGUCUGAUUAGCUAGUUGGAGGGGUAACGGCCCACCAAGGCGAUGAUUAGUAGCCGGUCUGGGAGGGUGAACGGGCACAUUGGGAAUGGGACACGGCCCAGACUCCUACGGGAGGCAACAGUGGGGAAUCUUCCGCAAUGGGCGAAAGGCUUGCGGAGCAACGCCGCGUGAGUGAUGACGGCCUUCGGGUUGUAAAGCUCUGUUAAUCGGGACGCGGUACCGGAAUAGAAAGCCACGGCUAACUACGUGCCAGCAGCCGCGGUAAUAC